rnacentral:rRNA from 1 species
CAGUAGCCGCGGGAAUACAGAGGGUGCAAGCGUUAAUCGGAUUUACUGGGCGUAAAGGGCGCGUAGGUGGUUAUGUAAGUGAGAUGUGAAAUCCCCGGGCUCAACCUGGGAACUGCAUCUUAUACUGCGUAGCUGGAGUGCAGUAGAGGGUAGUGGAAUUUCCGGUGUAGCGGUGAAAUGCGUAGAUAUCGGAAGGAACACCUGUGGCGAAAGCGGCUCACUGGACCAUUUCUGACGCUGAUGCACGAAAGCUAGGGGAGCAAACAGGAUUAGAUACCCCUGUAGUCCCUGUCUCUUAUAC